GACGAACGCUGGCGGCGUGCUUAACACAUGCAAGUCGAACGGAAAGGCCCCUUUGGGGGUACUCGAGUGGCGAACGGGUGAGUAACACGUGAGUAACCUGCCCUUGACUUCGGGAUAACUUCAGGAAACUGGGGCUAAUACCGGAUAGGAAUCCUUGCUGCAUGGUGGGGGUUGGAAAGCUUCGGCGGUUUUGGAUGGACUCGCGGCUUAUCAGCUUGUUGGUGGGGUAGUGGCUUACCAAGGCGUUGACGGGUAGCCGGCCUGAGAGGGCGACCGGCCACAUUGGGACUGAGGUGCGGCCCAGACUCCUACGGGAGGCAGCAGUGGGGAAUAUUGCACGAUGGGCGGCAGCCUGAUGCAGCAGCGCCGCGUGCGGGAUGACGGCCUUCGGGUUGUAAACCGCUUUCAGCAGGGGCGAAGCUUGUGGUGACGGUACCUGCAGAAGAAGCACCGGCUAACUACGUG
rnacentral:rRNA from 1 species